rnacentral:rRNA from 1 species
GACGAACGCUGGCGGCGUGCUUAACACAUGCAAGUGGUGCGACGAACCAGACUUCGGUCUGGGGCAAAGCCGCGAACGGGUGAGUAACACGUGAGUAAUCUGCCCCGAUGACCGGGACAACCCGAGGAAACUCGGGCUAAUACCGGAUGAUGAGCCUUGGCGUAAGCCUUGUCUCUAAAGGAAGCUUCGGCCUCCGCAUCGGGAGGAGCUCGCGGCCCAUUAGCUUGUUGGUGGGGUAAUGGCCUACCAAGGCGACGACGGGUAGCCGGCCUGAGAGGGCGACCGGCCACACUGGGACUGAGACACGGCCCAGACUCCUACGGGAGGCAGCAGUGGGGAAUAUUGCGCAAUGGGCGGAAGCCUGACGCAGCGACGCCGCGUGGGGAUGACGGCCUC